rnacentral:rRNA from 2 species
CCUGCGGAGGAUCAUUAAUGAAUUCACUAUGGAGUUGUUGCUGGCCUCUAGGGGCAUGUGCACGCUUCACUAGUCUUUCAACCACCUGUGAACUUUUGAUAGAUCUGUGAAGUCGUCUCUCAAGUCGUCAGACUUGGUUGCUGGGAUUUAAACGUCUCGGUGUGACUACGCAGUCUAUUUACUUACACACCCCAAAUGUAUGUCUACGAAUGUCAUUUAAUGGGCCUUGUGCCUUUAAACCAUAAUACAACUUUCAACAACGGAUCUCUUGGCUCUCGCAUCGAUGAAGAACGCAGCGAAAUGCGAUAAGUAAUGUGAAUUGCAGAAUUCAGUGAAUCAUCGAAUCUUUGAACGCACCUUGCGCCCCUUGGUAUUCCGAGGGGCAUGCCUGUUUGAGUGUCAUUAAAUUCUCAAACUCACUUUGGUUUCUUUCCAAUUGUGAUGUUUGGAUUGUUGGGGGCUGCUGGCCUUGACAGGUCGGCUCCUCUUAAAUGCAUUAGCAGGACUUCUCAUUGCCUCUGCGCAUGAUGUGAUAAUUAUCACUCAUCAAUAGCACGCAUGAAUAGAGUCCAGCUCUCUAAUCGUCCGCAAGGACAAUUUGACAAUUUGACCUC